GCAGCUCAGUGGUAGAGCCUCCACUUUCCAUGCAGAAGCUCUGAGGUUCAAUCCCCAGAUAGGGCU